CCCGGAUAUGUGAUGAAAUCAGAGAAAUGAUGAGAGAUGGCGUUACUGCCUCAUCACCGGAUAGAAUGCGUAUGAAGACAUUUUUGAAAAAAAUUGAAACCCAUGGUCCCGGCUGUCAAAAAAAUGUGGUUAUGUCAUCAUGUAUGAAAUAAUAAAAAAUAAUUAAUUU